AGCUUUGCAUAGUGGCAGUAUCGUAGCCAAUGAGGUUUAUCCAAGGCGUGAUUAUUACCAAUUGAAAACUUUUCCCAGUACCUCGCCAUGACGACUUGCAAUAUAGUCCGCAUUGGCAACUUUUCACAGUCUCUACGGAGA
rnacentral:snRNA from 1 species